rnacentral:rRNA from 1 species
CUGGAUGCUUGCGGGCCCGUACCGGGUACCAAUAGCAACCAAACUCCGAAUACCUGUCGUGUGUAUGCCAGCAGUGAGUCGGCGGGGGAUAAGCUCCGUCGUCGAGGGGGAGACAGCCCUGACCGUCGUCUAAGGUCCCCAAGCGCGUGCUAAGUGGGAAAGGAUGUGGAGUCGCAUAGACAGCCAGGAGGUUGGCUCAGAAGCAGCCAUCCUUGAAAGAGUGCGUAACAGCUCACUAGUCGAGUGGCCCUGCGCCGAAAAUGUACCGGGGCUAAGCCUGAUACCGAAGCUGC